AAUUCUCAACCUUAUCAGUUUAUUUCUGAUAGUGGCUUGGAUGUGGGGGUUUUUCUUGCUGGCUCCUUCAUCGAGGUCAGCUCCCCUUAAAUGCAUUAGCUGGUGCCCUGUGUGGACUGUCGUCUAUUGGUGUGAUAAUUAUCGACGCCAUGGAUGUCUGCUAUUAGCACUGCUUCUAACCGUCUGUUAAUUCGGACAAUACAUGACA
rnacentral:misc_RNA from 1 species